rnacentral:rRNA from 1 species
CAUGCAAGUCGAGCGAGAAGCUAACUUCGGUUAGUGGAAAGCGGCGCACGGGUGAGUAACGCGUGGGAAUUUACCUUUUGGUGGGGGACAACAGUUGGAAACGACUGCUAAUACCGCAUAUACCCUACGGGGGAAAGAUUUAUCGCCAAAAGAUGGGCCCGCGUUAGAUUAGGUAGUUGGUAGGGUCAAAGCCUACCAAGCCUACGAUCUAUAGCUGGUUUGAGAGAACGAUCAGCCACACUGGAACUGAGACACGGUCCAGACUCCUACGGGAGGCAGCAGUGGGGAAUCUUGCACAAUGGGCGAAAGCCUGAUGCAGCCAUGCCGCGUGAGUGAGAAGGCCUUCGGGUUGUAAAACUCUUUUAGAUGUGAAGAUGAUGACGGUAACAUCAGAAAAAGCCCCGGCUAACUUCGUGCCAGCAGCCGCGGUAAUACGAAGGAGGCUAGCGUUGUUCGGAAUUACUGGGCGUAAAGAGCGUGUAGGCGGCUAGAUAAGUUAGGGGUGAAAUCCCGGAGCUCAACUUCGGAAUUGCCUUUGAUACUGUCUAGCUUGAGAUUGCGAGGGGAUAGCGGAAUACCCAGUGUAGAGGUGAAAUUCGU